rnacentral:rRNA from 1 species
UACGAAGGGGGCUAGCGUUGCUCGGAAUCACUGGGCGUAAAGGGUGCGUAGGCGGGUUUUUAAGUCAGAGGUGAAAUCCUGGAGCUCAACUCCAGAACUGCCUUUGAUACUGGGAAUCUUGAGUAUGGAAGAGGUGAGUGGAACUGCGAGUGUAGAGGUGAAAUUCGUAGAUAUUCGGAGGAACACCAGUGGCGAAAGCGACUUUCUGGCACGAAACUGACGCUGAGGCUCGAAAGCAUGGGUAGCGAAC